rnacentral:pre_miRNA from 1 species
AAAUUACUCCCUCCGUUCGGAAUUACUUGUCUCGGAAAUGGAUGUGUCUAAAACUAAAAUAUGUCUAAAUACAUCCAUUUCUGCGACAAGUAAUUCCGAACGGAGGGAGUAGAAG